GAUGAAGAACGUAGUGAAAUGCGAUAAGUAAUGUGAAUUGCAGAACUCAGUGAAUCAUCGAAUCUUUGAACGCACAUUGCGCCCCUUGGUAUCCCGAGGGGCAUGCCUGUUCGAGCGUCAUUUCACCACUCAAGCCUGGCUUGGUGUUGGGCGACGUCCCCUUUGGGGACGCGCCUCGAAACGCUCGGCGGCGUGGCACCGGCUUUAAGCGUAGCAGAAUCUUUCGCUUUGGAAGUCGGGGCCCCGUCUGCCGGAAGACCUACUCGCAAGGUUGACCUCGGAUCAGGCAGGGAUACCCGCUGAACUUAAGCAUAUCAAUAAGCGGAGGA
rnacentral:misc_RNA from 1 species